rnacentral:rRNA from 1 species
AACGAACGCUGGCGGCAUCCCUAACACAUGCAAGUCGAACGCCCUCUUCGGAGGGAGUGGCGCACGGGUGCGUAACGCGUGGGAACCUGCCCUUAGGUUCGGAAUAACUCAGAGAAAUUUGAGCUAAUACCGGAUAAUGUCUUCGGACCAAAGAUUUAUCGCCUUUGGAUGGGCCCGCGUUGGAUUAGCUAGUUGGUGGGGUAAAGGCCUACCAAGGCGACGAUCCAUAGCUGGUCUGAGAGGAUGAUCAGCCACACUGGGACUGAGACACGGCCCAGACUCCUACGGGAGGCAGCAGUGGGGAAUAUUGGACAAUGGGCGAAAGCCUGAUCCAGCAAUGCCGCGUGAGUGAUGAAGGCCUUAGGGUUGUAAAGCUCUUUUACUGGGGAUGAUAAUGACAGUACCCAGAGAAUAAGCUCCGGCUAACUCCGUGCCAGCAGCCGCGUAAU